UACGUAGGGUGCUAGCGUUGUCCGGCUUUAUUGGGCGUAAAGGGCUCGUAGGCGGUUUGUCGCGUCUGCCGUGAAAGUCCGGGGCUCAACUCCGGAUCUGCGGUGGGUACGGGCAGACUAGAGUGCAGUAGGGGAGACUGGAAUUCCUGGUGUAGCGGUGAAAUGCGCAGAUAUCAGGAGGAACACCGAUGGCGAAGGCAGGUCUCUGGGCUGUAACUGACGCUGAGGAGCGAAAGCAUGGGGAGCGAACAGG
rnacentral:rRNA from 1 species